GUCGUGGACGGAACCCAAACCCGCUGGAGUCCAGAACGCUUUUCUGUCGGAACUUGCAACGCGCCGCACACCGCGUGUGAGCCAACGACGAUUCGAGUAAACCCUCUGUUGACGCUCCAGCGGCCACUCUUCUAAGUGUGCAGCCACGAGGCUCCUAUCCCGAGGAUGAGCCCAUAUCUCUGACAGCCGGCGGUAAGAGGAAGAGCGUGAGAUGAGGAAGAGAAGAAACAAAUUGAGCCAAUGAGUUUUCGAAGCCAGAGGAGAGGGCCUGCCUUCACAUCCACAGGGUCAUGGGAGGUUGGAGCGUAUAUCCCUGCAAGCAGUGUGUUAAAGGCAGGAAGACAACCUGGACCAGUUGCCAGUCCAUCACAGGAUCCACUCUGAUUCACGCACCAUUAAUACUGGAGGACUCUUGCCAAGACAGCAGUGGAAAUCUCCAGGCAACACAACUCUGCACGGGUGCAAAAAGGACAAAAGGAAAGACAAAACAGCUGAUCGGUGUACAGAUAGAAUUUGGAUUGUGAUGGCGAGCCCAGCCGAGUGAGGUUGUGGACGAUCAUAGAAGCGGUGGCCUACCGUAGGAUCUGUCCCAGGAAACGUCUGAAAAGCCUGAAUCCAGACACCAGAUAAGAACCCAUACACACUAGCCUAUUUCCUCUACCAGGGUAGAAAUAGUCAUGGUUGAAGUAUAUCCAGUACACUCACGGAUCAGGAACUGAACUCUUGGACCAACACAUACACUCAAGGACAAGGAACUGAACUUUUCUUUCAUCUCAAACUGCUAACACUCAUUGAGGGUUGUGAUUUGAAUGAGGUUUUCUUUAGUUUAUUAUUUUAUUUACUUUAAAGAGCUCUAUUUUGUUUUAUUUCAAUUCUUAAUUCAAA